UGGGGAAUAUUGGACAAUGGGCGAAAGCCUGACGCAGCGACGCCGCGUGGGUGAUGAAGGCCUUCGGGUUGUAAAGCUCUGUUGAGCGGGACAAAAGCCAGCGGCUGAAUAAGCCGUUGGGGUGACGGUACCGCUUUAGCAAGCACCGGCUAACUCUGUGCCAGCAGCCGCGGUAAUACAGAGGGUGCAAACGUUGCUCGGAAUUACUGGGCGUAAAGCGCGUGUAGGUGGUUUCGCAAGUCAGGUGUGAAAGCCCGAGGCUCAACCUCGGAAGUGCACUUGAUACUACGGAGCUGGAGUCUUGGAGAGGAGAGCGGAAUUCCCGGUGUAGAGGUGAAAUUCGUAGAUAUCGGGAGGAACACCAGUGGCGAAGGCGGCUCUCUGGACAAGUACUGACACUGAGACGCGAAAGCAUGGGGAGCAAA
rnacentral:rRNA from 1 species